UACGGGAGGCAGCAGUGGGGAAUAUUGCACAAUGGGCGCAAGCCUGAUGCAGCCAUGCCGCGUGUAUGAAGAAGGCCUUCGGGUUGUAAAGUACUUUCAGUCGUGAGGAAGGUGUUAAGGUUAAUAACCUUAGCAAUUGACGUUAGCGACAGAAGAAGCACCGGCUAACUCCGUGCCAGCAGCCGCGGUAAUACGGAGGGUGCGAGCGUUAAUCGGAAUUACUGGGCGUAAAGGGCACGCAGGCGGUUAAUUAAGUUGGAUGUGAAAUCCCCGGGCUUAACCUGGGAAUGGCAUUCAAGACUGGUUAGCUAGAGUCUUGUAGAGGGGGUUAGAAUUCCAUGUGUAGCGGUGAAAUGCGUAGAGAUGUGGAGGAAUACCGGUGGCGAAGGCGGCCCCUGGACAAAGGACUGACGCUCAUGUGCGAAGCGUGGGGAGCAAACAGGGAUUAGAUACC
rnacentral:rRNA from 1 species